AGGGGUAUAGUUCAGCGGUAGAGCAUGUGCUUGGAAUGCGUGAGGUCCUGGGUUCAAUCCCCAGUACCUCCA
rnacentral:tRNA from 1 species